ACGCUAGCGGCGGAUGGGUGAGUAACACGUGGGCAAUCUGCCCUAAAGACUGGGAUACCACUUGGAAACAGGUGCUAAUACCGGAUAACAACAUGAAUCGCAUGAUUCAAGUUUGAAAGGCGGCGCAAGCUGUCACUUUAGGAUGAGCCCGCGGCGCAUUAGCUAGUUGGUGGGGUAAAGGCCUACCAAGGCAAUGAUGCGUAGCCGAGUUGAGAGACUGAUCGGCCACAUUGGGACUGAGACACGGCCCAAACUCCUACGGGAGGCAGCAGUAGGGAAUCUUCCACAAUGGACGCAAGUCUGAUGGAGCAACGCCGCGUGAGUGAAGAAGGUCUUCGGAUCGUAAAGCUCUGUUGUUGGUGAAGAAGGAUAGAGGCAGUAACUGGUCUUUAUUUGACGGUAAUCAACCAGAAAGUCACGGCUAACUACGUGCCAGCAGCCGCGGUAAUACGUAGGUGGCAAGCGUUGUCCGGAUUUAUUGGGCGUAAAGCGAGCGCAGGCGGAAUGAUAAGUCUGAUGUGAAAGCCCACGGCUCAACCGUGGAACUGCAUCGGAAACUGUCAUUCUUGAGUGCAGAAAAGGAGAGUGGAACUCCAUGUGUAGCGGUGGAAUGCGUAAAUAUAUGGAAGAACACCAGUGGCGAAGGCGGCUCUCUGGUCUGCAACUGACGCUGAGGCUCGAAAGCAUGGGUAGCGAACAGGA
rnacentral:rRNA from 1 species